rfam:Schistosoma mansoni strain Puerto Rico chromosome 4, complete genome
AUCCAGCUGACGAGUCCCAAAUAGAACGAAACACGCGUCCUGGAU